rnacentral:rRNA from 1 species
AGAGUUUGAUCAUGGCUCAGAACGAACGCUGGCGGCGUGGAUAAGACAUGCAAGUCGAGCGCUGAUUUCAGGGUAGCAAUAUUCUGGAGUCGGAGCGGCGCAAGGGUGCGUAACACGUGGGUAAUCUGCCAUGAAGUUUGGAAUAACUUGCUGAAAGGCGAGCUAAUACCGGAUGUGACCGUUGGGAGGCCUCUCCCGAUAGUUAAAGCUGGGGACCGUAAGGCCUGGCGCUUCAUGAUGAACCCGCGGCCUAUCAGCUAGUUGGUGAGGUAACGGCCCACCAAGGCUAAGACGGGUAGCUGGUCUGAGAGGACGACCAGCCACACUGGAACUGAGACACGGUCCAGACACCUACGGGUGGCAGCAGUCGAGAAUUUUUCACAAUGGGCGCAAGCCUGAUGGAGCGACGCCGCGUGGGGGAUGAAUGGCUUCGGCCCGUAAACCCCUGUCAUUCGCGAUCAACCCUUAUUAUUUAAAAGAUGAUAAGCUGAUAGUAGCGGAAGAGGAAGGGACGGCUAACUCUGUGCCAGCAGCCGCGGUAAUACAGAGGUCCCAAGCGUUGUUCGGAUUCACUGGGCGUAAAGGGUGCGUAGGUGGCUUGAAAAGUUUGAUGUGAAAGCUCAGGGCUUAACCCUGAAAUGGCAUUGAAUACUGUCGGGCUGGAGGUUUGGAGGGGGGACUGGAAUUCUUGGUGUAGCAGUGAAAUGCGUAGAUAUCAAGAGGAACACCAGUGGCGAAGGCGAGUCCCUGGACAACACCUGACACUGAGGCACGAAAGCUAGGGGAGCAAACAGGAUUAGAUACCCUAGUAGUCC